CCUAGUUGCCACCAUUCAGUUGGGCACUCUAAGGAGACUGCCGGUGUUAAACCCGGAGGAAGGUGGGGAUGACGUCAAGUCCUCAUGGCCCUUAUAUCCAGGGCUACACACGUGCUACAAUGGCCGGUACAAAGGGUCGCAAUACCGCAAGGUGGAGCUAAUCCCAAAAAGCCGGUCUCAGUUCGGAUUGGAGUCUGCAACUCGACUCCAUGAAGUCGGAAUCGCUAGUAAUCGCGUAUCAGCAUGACGCGGUGAAUACGUUCCCGGGCCUU
rnacentral:rRNA from 1 species